rnacentral:SRP_RNA from 1 species
GCGGGAGUCGGGCGGACGUUUGCAUUCGCCAACCUGGUCAGGUCCGGAAGGAAGCAGCCACAACGAAGCCGCGGCGGGUCGUCCGGCUCCUACUAC